CAGGCUUACUGAGUAAGCUUGAAAGGCAUUAGUCAGCACCCAAAUACACGUGGUAGAAGCCCCAUCUGGCAUCUAUGCUUUCCUUCUCUUUAUUUCUUCCUCUGGCGCGCUUGAAGAGAAGGAAGAGAAGAGGGUGAGGCGCGGGAGAAGCAAAGGUUGAGAGCGAGAGAGAGAGAGAGAGAGAGAGAGUUCAAUGCAGAGAGAGAGACAGAGACAGAGACCGAGGCAGAGGAAGAAGCAUCGGGAGGAGCCUAGCUAUGUGCAAGCCGAUUUUUGAACCUAGGAUUUAAUUGGCAUCCUAGUUUACCAAGGAGAAACCAAAGGCAAGGUAUCAGGAUGGGGGAGCAAGCAGAAGGACCUGGUUGAUCCAUGGGAGAGAGAAGCUGGUGGAAGCAUCGCUAAGGCAGAAGAGAAGAAGAAUUUAGUUAUUUAGUUAAUUAGUUAGUUAAUAUGAAAAAUUAAUACAUUAUGUGUUUACAUUCCCUUUCAUGAUAUUUGAUGUGUUUAUAUUUUUCCCGAUUUGUGAAGCAUGUAAUCUUUACUGCUAUGUUUGUAUAUUUCUCUAUAAGGAGUGCUUGGGGGUAGUUCUAGUAUAGCAGGAAGUUUAGUAUAUAUACAUAGAUAACGAUAUUGUAUGCGUGAUGAUGUGAGUGAUAUAGUUAUUUCCUAUGUAAAGUAUAUAUCCAAAGUUUUGGGAUGUGUAA